rnacentral:rRNA from 1 species
AAAUAACAAUGAUUUCCCUAGUAACGGCGAGUGAACAGGAAAGAGCUCAAAGUUGGAACCCGUUUGUUUUAGCCAAACCGGAUUGUAAACUGUAGAAGUGUUUUCCUGCCACGCCUGGAUGAAAAAGUCCAUUGGAACAUGGUGACAUAGAGGGUGAGAGCCCCGUAUUUCGUCAGAGCUGUUGUCUUUUGUGAUACACUUUCAAAGAGUCAGGUUGUUUGGGAAUGCAGCCUAAAUUGGGUGGUAAAUCUCACCUAAAGCUAAAUAUUGGCAAAAGACCGAUAGCGAACAAGUACCGUGAGGGAAAGAUGAAAAGAACUUUGAAAAGAGAGUUAAACAGUAUGUGAAAUUGUUAAAAGGGAACCGUUUGGAGCCAGACUGGCUUGAUUGUAAUCAAUCUAGAUUUCGAUCUGGAUGCACUUGCAGUCUAUGCCUGCCAACGACAAUUCAUUCUGGAGGAAAAAACUAGGAGGAAUGUGGCCCCUCGGGGUGUUAUAGCUUCUUAGAAAAUACUCUGGGUUGGAUUGAGGAACGCAGUGGAUGCUAUUUGGCGAAGUUGCUGAGUGCUUUUAUUGGUACGUGUUAGAAUUUCUGCUUCGGGUGGUGCUAGCAUUUACUGGUAAAACUCGCUUGGUAAUCUUUUAUUCCGCUUAGGUUGUUGCU